UUAGCGCGGUGGUCCCACCUGACCCCAUGCCGAACUCAGAAGUGAAACGCCGUAGCGCCGAUGGUAGUGUGGGGUCUCCCCAUGCGAGAGUAGGGAACUGCCAGGU
rnacentral:rRNA from 1 species